CAACCUGUUUCUUGAAGCCCCCAUAAGGAAGGAACAGAGUGCCCACCAAUUAAUAAGAAUAAAAGAAAUGGAAACAGCAUUAAUGCAUUUCUCCAGACUCAUCUAUCUGUAAUUUCUAUGCAUAUAUAUAUAUAGACAGGCUCUGAUGCGCAAAAACCAUCUGCGGAUUGUCUCAAUACAGUGAUUUACUUGUUUCUUGCAACCUCUCUCAUACCUUCUUCCAACAUGCAAAACCAAACAAACCAACCUCCUCCAGGUUACCCGACUGAGAAUCCUCCAACCGAAAAGAAGAAGAUGAAGUGCCGGCCAAGAACAAAGGCGAAAGGAGAUAGGGGCUUCAUUGAGGGAUGCCUCUUUGCAUUAUGUUGCUGCUGGCUUUGUGAAGUCUGCUUUGACUAAAUAAGAUACAAGACAUGAACAUAUGUUGAUGUGCUGUUAUUCUAUUUUCACUCUGGAGUAGGUUGUAUUGGCUUUGGCAUUUGUACUUUCCAUGAGUAUCAGUUGGUUUGCUGUACUUCUCUUUGAAGAAGUGUAAUAAAUAUGUACUGAAAAUCUAGGACUGCAUGUACGUGCAAAUUGUCAUAGAAAUAUUUAAAUUACAGUUGUAAUUUCUUUAUUA